rnacentral:rRNA from 1 species
GACGAACGCUGGCGGCGUGCUUAACACAUGCAAGUCGAACGGAAAAGCUCUAGCUUGCUGGGGUGCUUCAGUGGCGAACGGGUGAGUAACACGUGAGCAACCUGCCCCUGACUCUGGAAUAACCGCUGGAAACGGCGUCUAAUACUGGAUACGAGAAGGGUCCGCAUGGGCACGUUUUGAAAGGUUUUUCGGUUGGGGAUGGACUCGCGGCCUAUCAGCUUGUUGGUGUGGUAAUGGCUUACCAAGGCUUCGACGGGUAGCCGGCCUGAGAGGGCGACCGGCGACAAGGUGACAGAGAAACGAGCCAGACUAGUACUGGCGGUAGCAGUCGAGAAUAUUGCAGCAUGGGCGUACGGCAGAUGCAGAGACGCCGCGUGCGGGAAGAGGGCCUUCGGGUUGUAAAACACUUUGACCUGGGAAGAAGCGAAAGUGCGGGGAACAGAAGAAGAAGCACCGGCUAACUACGUG